GGCGCAAGCCUGAUCCAGCAAUGCCGCGUGCAGGAUGAAGGCCUUCGGGUUGUAAACUGCUUUUGUACGGAGCGAAAAGGCUUCCACUAAUACUGGGGGCUCAUGACGGUACCGUAAGAAUAAGCACCGGCUAACUACGUGCCAGCAGCCGCGGUAAUACGUAGGGUGCGAGCGUUAAUCGGAAUUACUGGGCGUAAAGCGUGCGCAGGCGGUUAUGUAAGACAGAUGUGAAAUCCCCGGGCUUAACCUGGGAACUGCAUUUGUGACUGCAUAGCUGGAGUACGGCAGAGGGGGAUGGAAUUCCGCGUGUAGCAGUGAAAUGCGUAGAUAUGCGGAGGAACACCGAUGGCGAAGGCAAUCCCCUGGGCCUGUACUGACGCUCAUGCACGAAAGCGUGGGGAGCAAACAGGAUUAGAUACCCUGGUAGUCCACGCCCUAAACGAUGUCAACUGGUUGUUGGGUCUUCACUGACUCAGUAACGAAGCUAACGCGUGAAGUUGACCGCCUGGGGAGUACGGCCGCAAGGUUGAAACUCAAUGA
rnacentral:rRNA from 1 species